UGUACACAUUCAAUCAAGCUCAAUGCCUGAGAGAAGAUAGUAUGUUCUUCGGACAGCGUUUUGCGAUUCGCUACAUUCUUCUGCAUUUAUUUGAGUGUAUAAAACAUACCACAGCUAAGUGAUGUGAAAACGUUUGUUUACAAUCAAAGAAAAACAAUUCGGCCAGUCCGUCACAAUGCUCAAACUUUACAUCGUUGGAGUGACAUUUGCACUGACGGUGGUGCUGGUGCAUCUUGCUUCGACGGCCGAAUCCUCUACCGAUCAGGCCUUACUGCAAACCACAACACCGUGGGAUGUUGACGAUCGUUGCACGCUGUGCAACAAGGCCUGUCCAAAGGAUCAUGUUUUCGCGGAAGGAAAAUGUCGCAAACCGAGGGUGAAGAAAAACGGGAGGCCAGUUAAAUUUAAAUGAAUUUAGAUUUUAGAAUAAAGGAGUAGUUUAAUGUAGACAAUAAAACAAUAAAUAAUUGUACAGAUGGUGGACUGUUUGCUUUACAUCUGUAUCCAAAAGUAA